rnacentral:sRNA from 1 species
CCUGGGUGUGGUGGCACACACCUGUAAUCCCAGCAGUUUGGGAGGCUGAGGCAGGAGGAUAACAAGUUCCAGGCCAGCCUCAGCAACUUAGCAAGACCCUGUCUCAA